UUCUCUUGAGAGCGGCGGACGGGUGAGUAAUGCCUAGGAAUCUGCCUGGUAGUGGGGGAUAACGUCCGGAAACGGACGCUAAUACCGCAUACGUCCUACGGGAGAAAGCAGGGGACCUUCGGGCCUUGCGCUAUCAGAUGAGCCUAGGUCGGAUUAGCUAGUUGGUGGGGUAAUGGCUCACCAAGGCGACGAUCCGUAACUGGUCUGAGAGGAUGAUCAGUCACACUGGAACUGAGACACGGUCCAGACUCCUACGGGAGGCAGCAGUGGGGAAUAUUGGACAAUGGGCGAAAGCCUGAUCCAGCCAUGCCGCGUGUGUGAAGAAGGUCUUCGGAUUGUAAAGCACUUUAAGUUGGGAGGAAGGGCAGUAAAUUAAUACUUUGCUGUUUUGACGUUACCGACAGAAUAAGCACCGGCUAACUCUGUGCCAGCAGCCGCGGUAAUACAGAGGGUGCAAGCGUUAAUCGGAAUUACUGGGCGUAAAGCGCGCGUAGGUGGUUCGUUAAGUUGGAUGUGAAAUCCCCGGGCUCAACCUGGGAACUGCAUUCAAAACUGACGAGCUAGAGUAUGGUAGAGGGUGGUGGAAUUUCCUGUGUAGCGGUGAAAUGCGUAGAUAUAGGAAAGGAACACCAGUGGCGAAGGCGACCACCUGGACUGAUACUGACACUGAGGUGCGAAAGCGUGGGGAGCAAACAGGAUUAGAUACUCU
rnacentral:rRNA from 1 species